UCGCAUUCAGUUGCCAUCGGGUAAUGCCGGGCACUCUGGAAGGACUGCCAUCGACAAGAUGGAGGAAGGUGGGGAGUGACGUCAAGUCAUCAUGGCCCUUAUGUCCAGGGCGACACACGUGCUACAAUGGCCGGCACAACGGGAAGCGAGUUCGCGAGGACGAGCGGAUCCCUCAAAGCCGGUCGCAGUUCGGAUUGAAGUCUGCAACUCGACUUCAUGAAGCUGGAAUCGCUAGUAAUCGUGGAUCAGCCAAGCCGCGGUGAAUACGUUCCCGGGCCUU
rnacentral:rRNA from 1 species